rnacentral:rRNA from 1 species
UUGGAGGGCAAGUCUGGUGCCAGCAGCCGCGGUAAUUCCAGCUCCAAUAGCGUAUAUUAAAGUUGUUGCAGUUAAAAAGCUCGUAGUUGAAUUUCGGGGUCAGCAGGUUGGUCGUGCCAAUGGUAUGCACUGGCCUUGCUGAUUCCUCCCUCUUGAUGAGCCGUAAUGUCAUUAAUUUGGUGUUGCGGGGAAUCAGGACUGUUACUUUGAAAAAAUUAGAGUGUUUAAAGCAGGCAAGCGCUUGAAUACAUUAGCAUGGAAUAAUGAAAUAGGACGUUUGAUCCUAUUUUGUUGGUUCCUAGGAUUGACGUAAUGAUUAAUAGGGAUAGUUGGGGGCAUUAGUAUUCAAUUGUCAGAGGUGAAAUUCUUGGAUUUAUUGAAGACUAACUACUGCGAAAGCAUUUGCCAAGGAUGUUUUCAUUAAUCAAGAACAAAAGUUAGGGGAUCGAAGACGAUCAGAUACCGUCGUAGUCUUAACCAUAAACUAUGCCGACUAGGGAUCGGAUGAUGUUAAUUUUUUAAUGACUCAUUCGGCGCCUUACGGGAAAC